ACUGCAUCACUGGAAGGCACCUUGGAGGUUAUCCAGGCCAAUCAUAUCUAUCCAUCCAUCCAUCCAUCCAUGCAUCCAUCCUUCCAUUCAUCCACCCACCCACCAAUCUAUCCAUAUCCAUCCAUUCAACCACCCAUCUAUCCAUUCAUUCAUCCUUCCACCUAUCUAUCCAUCCACCCAUCUAUCCAUCCACCCAUCAAUCCAUCAAUCCAUCCAUCCAACCACAUUCAUCUAUCCUUCAUCCAUCCAUCCAUUCAUCCAUCCAUCUGUUUAUUCAGAAUGCAAUUUUUGAGGCCCUUCAGUGUAUGCAGCAGAGUUAGCAUGAUUGAGGUUUCAGUAGUGAAAAAAAGAUGUCCUUUAUUAGGAAAGAUAGACAGAAGUCCAUAAACAAGCAAAUGCACAGUGUGUCAGAGGUGUCCAGGGAUAUGAAGAAAAAUAAGAGGCUAGGAUUGCCUCUUAUUUUUACAUGCCCAUAAUCCCAACACUUUGGGAGGCUGAUACAGGUGGAUCUCUUGAGCCCAGGAGUUGGAGACCAGCCUGGGCAACAUAGGAGGAGCCUGUCUCUACAAAAAAAUGCCAAAAAAAUUUUAGCCAGGUAUGGUGGCAUGAACCUGUAAUCCCAUCUACUUAAGAGACUGAGGUGGGAAGAUUGCUUGAGACUCGGAGGAGGGGGUUGCAGUGUACUGUAAUCACACCACUGCACUGCAGCCUGGAGAGCAGAGUGAGACCCUGUCUCAAACAAACAGAAAAAGAAAACAGUGUCAGGAACCAGAAUGUGACAAGGCAACCACAGCUCCAAUCAGCUGUUUCCAGUGGAAUCAACCAUGGAAAUGCCUCUUAACCAAAAGGUCUUCCUUAUUGGAACCCAAACCUGCCCCACUCUUACUUUUGCCCCUGAUGCUAGCUUUGCUAUAGAGGAUAGAUUCUCUCUUACCUCAUGCCGAUAUCCCGUAUCUGAUCGGGUCCUCGCUGAGUCUUCUCUAAAUGAAGGGCCUCAGGCUCAUGGUCCU
rnacentral:lncRNA from 10 species